CUGCUGGUUUUCCCACUGCUGCGGUGGUUCUCCUACCUGGGAAGCACUGCUGAGGGAGAGGCAAACUGUUUGGACAUCUUCAUCCAUGCCAGAGGACACAAGCAGAGGUGAUGUGCAGCCACUAGCCUUUGUCUUCUUGGUUCAGUCUUCUGUAGCGAUGGAGCAGCACUGGCACUCCUCUGGAAGUUCCUCAGGCACCCACACUGCUAAAACCUACUGAUACUUAUGGGAGGCACGGAUUACCGGUGACAGCCUGCUGGUGCUGAAUGCAAACUAUUUUGUUUCAAGUAGCACAAGGAAGAGACCUAUGAGUGGAACCCUGCAGCAUGGCCACAAAAAGCCAAGCACAUAGCCCGGACACAUAGUAUGGGUUCUCCAGCAGCACACAACACAGCAUCUGUAAAGCCCGUCAUAAACAGACUGAGGACUCAUCUCCCUCUCUUAGAUGCUAUUGCAGUUUGCCAGUUUCUCCUCUGUCUCUUGGACACUGUUGGAAACACAGCUGCUUCAGUUUUGUGGGAAUGAAACAGAAAACUCCCUGUUCUUGACGUUCUUCAUGGUGGACCUGAAAAGCCUCCAGAGCAUGGACACAAUAUUGUACAGCGAAUAGAAUGAUGAGGCCACAAUUUCACUGAGUCAUUUUUACCUUAGACCAAAAGCAAGCCAAGCCAAAUCAACCAAGCAAGCAAGCAAGCAACCAACCAAAAACACUACCGAAUACUUGCUUCAAAAACAGUAAAGAAAAUAAUUCUGGGGGAUUCCCUAAAAUAUACCUAACCACAGCUAAGGGCAGUUCUCCAUUCUCUGUUUUCAUACUUAGGUGUUUUCUAAUUAUCUCUGGAGGCAGAACAACCAGUAAUAUGCAAUGUUCUGUGGGAAUACCCUACACUUCUGUCCAAAGAAGUGCUAGGGGACAGAAUUGCAAGGACAGAGUCUCCUGAGCUUUUACUCACCUCAAGAUGACUUUGCUGGCCAUGUCAUUAAACUGACGCAUCGGAAAAGUUGGAGUUGACCUCAAUACUUAAUCCAAAACAACUCUUCUUCCCUACCUACCAGUCUGCAUGCUGUUAUAGUUCAAGGCUGCUGGAGACUUCUGUUCAAAUGCAACAGUGAACUCAUAAGUAAAAAGGGAUGCAAAACACAACAGAUGGGUUGAGUUUCAACGUUCGGGGCAAGUCUUAUUAGGAGUGGAUUUAUUCAUUUUUUUAAAUUAGGGCUAAAUGUGAUUUAUUUUUUAAAUAACAAAACAAAGUUUUCAAUCAAGUAAUGGAUGAAUUUAAGCAAAAAUAAAUUUCAGUUGCCAAGUAGGAUGCACUUAGGCAAAAUUGGGCAUUAGCUUCCCAAGUAUUAUGUAAGUUUAGGUCUGCUCCAAACACCUCAGAGGAAUUGAUACAGCCACUGAAGUUCUAGUGUUUUUGGUGGGGACCUUGCCAUAAAAAAAGCUGAUGAAUUCAAGGAGUGUGAAAUAGCACUGGCAGAAAGACUGAUGCCGUUUUUUUCUAGUGUAGUUACCCUUCAGCUGUCUCCUCCUCAGACACAGCCUUGCAUUUGUACAAGUUACAAAUUCCUGCCGAUUUUGAAACACAAGAGUAGCCACAGGCCCAUUUCUUAGUAAGCAGUAAGACAUGACAUGUACGUUUGUGAAAAUGUGCUGUUAGUUACUAUCUCUUGAUUAGCAAAAGUGGUGUCAUACAUGAUGUAUGUACACGUCAUACAUCAGUAACGGA